rnacentral:misc_RNA from 1 species
GAUGAAGAACGUAGCGAAAUGCGAUAAGUAAUGCGAAUUGCAGAAUUUCCGUGAGUCAUCGAAUCUUUGAACGCACAUUGCGCACACUGGUAUUCCGGUGGGCAUGCCUGUUCGAGCGUCAUUAUCCUCCCUCAAACCCCGGGUUUGGUGUUGGACCCAAGUUGUGUGAACAACUGGUCUUAAAGACAAUGACGGCGUCCGUGGGACCCUCGGUGCAACGAGCUUUUAGGAGCACGCAUCGAGUUGCAAGGACCUUCCGGGCCGGUCUCCUUUACUAUUUUACAAGGUUGACCUCGGAUCAGGUAGGAAUACCCGCUGAACUUAAGCAUAUCAAUAAGCGGAGG